rnacentral:rRNA from 1 species
UACGUAGGGGGCAAGCGUUGUCCGGAUUUAUUGGGCGUAAAGCGCGCGCAGGCGGUCUCUUAAGUCUGAUGUGAAAGCCCACGGCUCAACCGUGGAAGGUCAUUGGAAACUGGGAGACUUGAGUGUAGGAGAGGAAAGUGGAAUUCCACGUGUAGCGGUGAAAUGCGUAGAGAUGUGGAGGAAUACCAGUGGCGAAGGCGACUUUCUGGCCUAUAAGUGACGCUGAGGAGCGAAAGCGUGGGGAGCAAACAGG